GGGAGCCGACGUUACCGGUUUGUCUGGCAGGAACCUGCUGGUCAACCUGGGGCUGUUCGCCGCUGGAGUCUGGGUCGCCCGGAACCUGACGGACAUCGACCUGAUGGCCCCGCAGCCCGUCCCGUAGCGGCGGAAGGAACCAGCGCUGCGGGGGAGAAGAGCUCGCCCUCCCCACACACAAGGACCAGAGGAGAUGUGUUUUAGCCGACCCAGUGAGGGGAGCAGGUUCUGUUCUCCUUCUCUGCAGAGCUGCUACUCGCAGGUCAGCGCUGUCCCGCUUGAAGCCAUGACAAGGAGGGGAAAAAACUUUUAAGUACGAGAGGAAGAAUUUCUUUUCCGUUCUUUCUGCGAGGCACAAUGAGAAUAGUUUUCUCAAGGAUGCGAAGCCGUUGUGCGUGGAAUUUUCUUUUGUACCCCCAUCUAGAUGUUUAUUAAAGUACGUAGAAUAAUGAUGUAACCCA